rnacentral:rRNA from 1 species
AAAUGAAUUGACGGGGGCCCGCACAAGCGGCGGAGCAUGCGGAUUAAUUCGAUGCAACGCGAAGAACCUUACCAAGGCUUGACAUGAACCGGAAAGGCGUAGAAAUACGUCCCCCACUUGUGGUCGGUUUACAGGUGGUGCAUGGUUGUCGUCAGCUCGUGUCGUGAGAUGUUGGGUUAAGUCCCGCAACGAGCGCAACCCUCGUUCUAUGUUGCCAGCACGUGAUGGUGGGGACUCAUAGGAGACUGCCGGGGUCAACUCGGAGGAAGGUGGGGAUGACGUCAAAUCAUCAUGCCCCUUAUGUCUUGGGCUUCACGCAUGCUACAAUGGCCGGUACAAAGGGUUGCGAUACUGUGAGGUGGAGCUAAUCCCAAAAAGCCGGUCUCAGUUCGGAUUGGGGUCUGCAACUCGACCCCAUGAAGUCGGAGUCGCUAGUAAUCGCAGAUCAGCAACGCUGCGGUGAAUACGUUCCCGGGCCUUGUACACACCGCCCGU